GACGAACCGUGCGAACGUUGUUCGGAAUCACUGGGCUUAAAGGGCGCGUAGGCGGCCCGCCGCGUCCGGGGUGAAAUCCUCCCGCUCAACGGGAGAACGGCCUCGGAUACGGGCGGGCUGGAGGGGGGUAGGGGCAGGCGGAACUGUGGGUGGAGCGGUGAAAUGCGUUGAGAUCCACAGGAACUCCGGUGGCGAAGGCGGCCUGCUGGACCGCACCUGACGCUGAGGCGCGAAAGCCAGGGGAGCGAACGGG
rnacentral:rRNA from 1 species